GAUGAACGCUGGCGGCGCGUCUAACACAUGCAAGUCGAACGGCACCCACCUCCGGGUGGAAGCGAGUGGCGAACGGCUGAGUAACACGUGGAGAACCUGCCCCCUCCCCCGGGAUAGCCGCCCGAAAGGACGGGUAAUACCGGAUACCCCGGGGUGCCGCAUGGCGCCCCGGCUAAAGCCCCGACGGGAGGGGAUGGCUCCGCGGCCCAUCAGGUAGACGGCGGGGUGACGGCCCACCGUGCCGACAACGGGUAGCCGGGUUGAGAGACCGACCGGCCAGAUUGGGACUGAGACACGGCCCAGACUCCUACGGGAGGCAGCAGUGGGGAAUCUUGCGCAAUGGGGGCAACCCUGACGCAGCGACGCCGCGUGCGGGACGGAGGCCUUCGGGUCGUAAACCGCUUUCAGCAGGGAAGAGUCAAGACUGUACCUGCAGAAGAAGCCCCGGCUAACUACGUGCCAGCAGCCGCGGUAAUACGUAGGGGGCGAGCGUUAUCCGGAUUCAUUGGGCGUAAAGCGCGCGUAGGCGGCCCGGCAGGCCGGGGGUCGAAGCGGGGGGCUCAACCCCCCGAAGCCCCCGGAACCUCCGCGGCUUGGGUCCGGUAGGGGAGGGUGGAACACCCGGUGUAGCGGUGGAAUGCGCAGAUAUCGGGUGGAACACCGGUGGCGAAGGCGGCCCUCUGGGCCGAGACCGACGCUGAGGCGCGAAAGCUGGGGGAGCGAACAGG
rnacentral:rRNA from 1 species